rnacentral:rRNA from 1 species
AAGUCGAACGAUGAAGCCCAGCUUGCUGGGUGGAUUAGUGGCGAACGGGUGAGUAACACGUGAGUAACCUGCCCUUAACUCUGGGAUAAGCCUGGGAAACUGGGUCUAAUACCGGAUAGGAGCGCCUACCGCAUGGUGGGUGUUGGAAAGAUUUAUCGGUUUUGGAUGGACUCGCGGCCUAUCAACUUGUUGGUGAGGUAAUGGCUCACCAAGGCGACGACGGGUAGCCGGCCUGAGAGGGUGACCGGCCACACUGGGACUGAGACACGGCCCAGACUCCUACGGGAGGCAGCAGUGGGGAAUAUUGCACAAUGGGCGAAAGCCUGAUGCAGCGACGCCGCGUGAGGGAUGACGGCCUUCGGGUUGUAAACCUCUUUCAGUAGGGAAGAAGCGAAAGUGACGGUACCUGCAGAAGAAGCACCGGCUAACUACGUGCCAGCAGCCGCGGUAAUACGUAGGGUGCGAGCGUUAUCCGGAAUUAUUGGGCGUAAAGAGCUCGUAGGCGGUUUGUCGCGUCUGUCGUGAAAGUCCGGGGCUUAACCCCGGAUCUGCGGUGGGUACGGGCAGACUAGAGUGCAGUAGGGGAGACUGGAAUUCCUGGUGUAGCGGUGGAAUGCGCAGAUAUCAGGAGGAACACCGAUGGCGAAGGCAGGUCUCUGGGCUGUAACUGACGCUGAGGAGCGAAAGCAUGGGGAGCGAACAGGAUUAGAUACCCUGGUAGUCCAUGCCGUAAACGUUGGGCACUAGGUGUGGGGACCAUUCCACGGUUUCCGCGCCGCAGCUAACGCAUUAAGUGCCCCGCCUGGGGAGUACGGCCGCAAGGCUAAAACUCAAAGGAAUUGACGGGGGCCCGCACAAGCGGCGGAGCAUGCGGAUUAAUUCGAUGCAACGCGAAGAACCUUACCAAGGCUUGACAUGUUCUCGAUCGCCGUAGAGAUACGGUUUCCCCUUUGGGGCGGGUUCACAGGUGGUGCAUGGUUGUCGUCAGCUCGUGUCUUGAGAUGUUGGGUUAAGUCCCGCAACGAGCGCAACCCUCGUUCCAUGUUGCCAGCC